UACGUAGGGUGCAAGCGUUAAUCGGAAUUACUGGGCGUAAAGCGCGCGUAGGUGGUUUGUUAAGUUGGAUGUGAAAGCCCCGGGCUCAACCUGGGAACUGCAUUCAAAACUGACAAGCUAGAGUAUGGUAGAGGGUGGUGGAAUUUCCUGUGUAGCGGUGAAAUGCGUAGAUAUAGGAAGGAACACCAGUGGCGAAGGCGACCACCUGGACUGAUACUGACACUGAGGUGCGAAAGCGUGGGGAGCAAACAGG
rnacentral:rRNA from 1 species